CUGGCUCAGGAUGAACGCUGGCGGCGUGCUUAAUACAUGCAAGUCGAACGAAGCACUUUUGACAGAUCCCCUCGGGGUGAAGAUGAUUGUGACUUAGUGGCGGACGGGUGAGUAACGCGUGGGGAACCUGCCUCGUGCUGGGGGAUAACAGUUAGAAAUGACUGCUAAUACCGCAUAAGCGCACAGUAAGGCAUCUUACAGUGUGAAAAGAUUUAUCGGCAUGAGAUGGACCCGCGUCUGAUUAGGUAGUUGGCGGGGUAACGGCCCACCAAGCCCGCGAUCAGUAGCCGACUUGAGAGAGUGAUCGGCCACAUUGGGACUGAGACACGGCCCAGACUCCUACGGGAGGCAGCAGUAGGGAAUAUUGCACAAUGGGGGAAACCCUGAUGCAAGCGACGCCGCGUGAGUGAUGAAGUAUUUCGGUACGUAAAACUCUAUCAGCAGGGAAGAUAAUGACGGUACCUGACUAAGAAGCCCCGGCUAACUACGUGCCAGCAGCCGC
rnacentral:rRNA from 1 species